rnacentral:rRNA from 1 species
GCAGCAGGACCCAAGGGUGGGGUUGUUCGCCCAUUAAAAGGGAUCGUGAGAUGGGUUUAGACCGUCGUGAGACAGGUUUGUUGCUUGGUGGUAGAAUCGUGUAAGGUGUCUGAUGGAAGAGGUCCUUUAGUACGAGAGGAACGAGGGCUUGGGGCCACUAGUUUACCAGUUGUCUGACAAGGCAAUGCUGGGUAGCCACGCCCUGAUGGAUAAGAGCUGAAAGCAUCUAAGCUCGAAACCACCCCAAAGACGAGACACCUCAGAACACUCGUAAAAGACGAGAUUAAUAGAAUGCGGAUGUAA